CCUCGGAUCGCCCUGACCGCAAUCGCGCG
rnacentral:sRNA from 1 species